UACGAAGGGGGCUAGCGUUAUUCGGAUUCACUGGCGUAAAGAGCGCGCAGGCGGUCGUUCAAAGUCGCGUGUGAAAGCCCCGGCUCAACUGGGAGGGUCACGCGAUACUGAUCGACUCGAAGGCAGGAGAGGGUAGUGGAAUUCCCGGUGUAGUGGUGAAAUGCGUAGAGAUCCGGAAGAACACCGGAGGCGAAGGCGGCUACGCGUGGACCUGAUCUGACGCUGAGGUGCGAAAGCGUGGGGAGCGAACAGG
rnacentral:rRNA from 1 species